GGUAGAUGAACGUAAAUGAAGGAAGAUGGAGAUAGAUGGACAUAGAUGAACGUAAAUGAAGGCAGAUGAACGUAAAUGAACGUAAAUGAACGUCAAUGAAUGUAGAUGAUAACAAAUGUACAUAAAUGAUGAGAAAUGUACGUAGAUGAAGGUAAAUGGAUAUAGCUGAAAGUAAAUGAAUACGGAUGACU